UGGAAUUUAAAAUGGCAGUCAUAGAUCUUCACCUGGGCAAGUACUUUAAGACGUUCUCUAAAACCCUCUCUAAUACUUUUAUAACCGCUUUUAACCUAGCCAAAUCAGCUACACUGCCAGACUCGGCCUUAGAAGCACAUAUCACUAUUAUACCUAAAUCGGGCAAAGACCCAACAAACUAUCGCCCAGUCUCACUUAUAAAUGUCGACCUGAGGAUAUUCACCUAAAU